UGAGCGACAUGGGAAGAUUGGUAAACAUGUAGUGUUACAUGUGACAAUGGAACCAUGUCGCGUACACGAACUUGCACCAACCCGGCAACGAUGGCCUUAAUUGCAGAGGACAUGACGUUGACCGGAAAUUGUGCAUCAAACAGCUUUGUCCAGUACAUGGGAACUGAGCGAGCUGGUCUGCGUGAUCCGACUGUUCGGUUAGUUGCGAUGUUGGCCUGAGAAAUAAAACAAGAAUCUGCACCAAUCCAAGACCGGAUCGCUUUGGUAAUAAUUGUAAUGGUGAUGCGAGCGAAUACAGCAUUUACCAAAUGGUACCCUGUAUAAACCCAGCAUGGUCCGGCUGUUUCGUUAGUUGUGAUGUUGGACUUCUGACAAGAUCUCGAACAUGCGAUAACCCCAAACCGAACAAAUACGGUGAAUAUUGCUCCGGCGUUGGUUUUGAGAAUGCUGUUUGUCUCAAUGACCCCUGCGGUACGCGAAGCAAGUUUUCCACGGCACUGGUCAGACUGGUCCGCGUGGUCCGGCUGUUCCGUUAGUUGUGAUGUUGGACUGCAGACAAGAUCUCGAACAUGCGAUAAUCCAAAACAAUACAAAUACGGUGAAUAUUGCUCUGGCGUUGGUCUGGAGAAUGCUGUUUGUCUCAAUGAUCCCUGUGAUG